AGACAGUUGGUACAUAUAGUCCACCCUCUUAUACUGCCCAAACAGCAACUUCACAGUCUACCAGAAACACCUCCUCUAGCCACAUUGCUACCCCUCUCCUUGAACAUGUUUCUUGAGUAGCUGGACCUUUGAAUAGAGAGGGAAGUGUUUUUUUUAUUUGUUUUUGUGUUUCUACAUACAAAAGUUGCUCCUAAUACUUUGAAGGGUCUCCUCAUGCAUUUUCUUUGCAGCAGCUUUUCAAGCCUCCCUGCAAACCAGGUUCUUUGCGAGGACUGGAAGCCUGAUGAUCCCAUUGACUAAUGUGAUUUGGUGGUUGGCCUUAGAAUUUCAUUUGAAAACAAAGAAGAGUUGCCUGUGAUAACUAGCAAGGACCAAAUUUUAAUCCAUUCACUGCUUAGCAGUUUGUUACCUGGCUUAAAUGAUGCUGUCAUUGGAAAGAAAAGGGAAGGAAGCCUCAGAGCCAUUACAUGUUGGAGGUUGCUGUGUGUUCCAGGUGAAGCAUGUCUGCACUGCGCUGCACCACAAGUGACCCUACGGUGAUUCUUUGGUGGGGCCUGAAACUCCUAACAGGUGGCAGGAAGAUGUGCUUUAAGUUAAAAGCACUCAGAACAGUCUGUGCUGGGGAGGAAGUGGGUAGCAGGUGGGUGUAGCAGUAUGUUAUCUUCUUUCUGUUAUGGGUUCUUCUUGUGGGCCACAGUGUCAUUCUCCUUCCCUAAAUGUUAAUCUCGCUGGAGCAAAGGCCAAAUAAUCAGCAUAAAAUCUCAGUGAAUGAAAGAUCUGUUUGAGGUAGAACAGAAAUUUCUAAGCAACACUGAAGCUUUAUUGAGGAAAUUUCUACCAGAAAUAAACUGUGGUUUGCACGCUGCUUGUGAUCAUUUACUGAAAGUUUGUAUUGCAGCAGGUGGCAAAACACAGCAUGUGAUAUGGUUCUCAUCUUCUCUCAGAAUGGAUUAUGAGUAGCCAGCAAAUGUGAAAGUUUAGAUUUGAAGAUAAAAGCUAUAAUCUGAAAUUCAUAGGUGUAAGUUAGGUAAAGGAUUACUUAUGUUUGGUAAUAUGAGUAUUAACAUAAUGGUUCUUCUAAGUAUUUUUUCUAAACAAUUGCACAAUGAAAGUUUAAGUAAUAAGACGAGCAUGAGUAAGUGCAAUGAGUUGGUCUACUAAGCUAAACCGCAUCUCAAUCAGAGUCCUACAAGUAAAUGAAAAGAAAGGAGAAAUUGGUUUUCUCAGACAUAAAGUGGAAAGAAAGGAAAAUGGAAGAAUCAUAUGAUUUUUCUGGAAUAUAUGUAUACUCACACUUUUUUUUAUAGAAGUUGUUUUUAAAGGAAAUAUAGGGCAAUUUGGGUUGUUCUGCCUCUCCAAAGUACUAUUGUGAAAAGUAACUUAGGCUUUGCACUGGAUUUAUGCUGUGUUAGAUUCAGCAAUUUUAUGCAGUAAUAACAACUUUCCCUGUCAUUGUAUUUCAGUAGUAUGCUACACAUCCAAGCAUUAUAUUACUUGUUCUGUCUAUUACUUAUGUUACUUGUUCUGUCAAUCCACUAAGCCAGUUGUUCAAAGAUAAACUUCUUUCAAAAGAAAUCUGGAUAAUCUUGUCUGUUUGGCAUCUAUGAGAAGUGAGUAAAUGCUAUGUUCAAAUUAGAAGCAAUUACAUUCUCUAUUUCUGUCUUUACCCUUGAUUAUAGUCAUUGCCAGUCCUGGGAUUUCAAAUAUUUUUUUAGGCUGCCUCCACACUAGUGUUUCCACUGUCUCUGUAAUUUGGC
rnacentral:lncRNA from 1 species